AUUGAACGCUGGCGGCAUGCCUUACACAUGCAAGUCGAACGGCAGCACGGGAGCAAUCCUGGUGGCGAGUGGCGAACGGGUGAGUAAUAUAUCGGAACGUGCCCAGUAGUGGGGGAUAGCCCGGCGAAAGCCGGAUUAAUACCGCAUACGACCUGAGGGUGAAAGCGGGGGAUCGCAAGACCUCGCGCUAUUGGAGCGGCCGAUGUCAGAUUAGCUAGUUGGUGGGGUAAAGGCCUACCAAGGCUACGAUCUGUAGUUGGUCUGAGAGGACGACCAGCUACACUGGGACUGAGACACGGCCCAGACUCCUACGGGAGGCAGCAGUGGGGAAUUUUGGACAAUGGGCGCAAGCCUGAUCCAGCAAUGCCGCGUGCAGGAAGAAGGCCU
rnacentral:rRNA from 1 species